rnacentral:tRNA from 1 species
GCGUCCGUAGCUCAGCUGGAUAGAGUACCUGGCUACGAACCAGGCGGACAGAGGUUCGAAUCCUCUCGGACGCGCCA